rnacentral:rRNA from 1 species
AGGGCGUAUGGUGGAUGCCUUGGCAGACAGGACCGAUGAAGGACGUUUGAGGCUGCGAUAUGCCUCGGGGAGCCGCCAACAGGGCUUUGAUCCGAGGAUUUCCGAAUGGGGGAACCCACCGACCGUCAUGGGUCGGUACCGGCUUCGGCCGGGGGGUACGCAGGGAAGUGAAACAUCUCAGUACCUGCAGGAAAGGAUAUUCCGUGAGUAGUGGCGAGCGAAAGCGGAUGAUGGCCAAACCUUGCGCGUGUGAUACCCGUCGGGGGUUGCGCGCGGGGUGUUGCGGGAUCGCGUGCGCCGGCUCCGACGGGCCGGCCGGCAGUUGCAGAAAACCAUGUGUCAGGGGAACCGGGUUGAAUACCGGGCCGCAGAGGGUGAGGGCCCCGUACCUGAACGCGCAUGGUCUGCCGAUCGCGUCUCCCAAGUAGCACGGGUCCCGUGGAACCCCGUGCGAAUCCGCCCAGACCGUUGGGUAAGCCUGAAUAUUCCUGUCUGACCGAUAGCGAACGAGUACCGUGAGGGAAAGGUGAAAAGUACCCCGGGAGGGGAGUGAAACAGUCUCUGAAACCGUGCGCCUACAAUCCGUCGGAGCCCUUUUGUGGGGUGACGGCGUGCCUAUCGAAAAAUGAGUCUGCGAGUCAGUGGCAUGUGGCGAGCAUAACCCGUGUGGGGUAUGCGUAGCGAAGGCGAGUCUUAAAAGGCGUUUGAGUCGCGUGUCCUGGACCCGAAGCGGGAUGAUCUAGCCCUGAGCAGGUUGAAGCGCGGGUAAGACCGCGUGGAGGACCGAACCCACCUGGGUUGAAAACCGGGGGGAUGACUUGGGGCUAGGGGUGAAAGGCCAAUCAAAUUCCGUGAUAGCUGGUUCUCUCCGAAAUGCAUUUGGGUGCAGCGUCGGGUCAUUACGUCCCGGGGGUAGAGCUACUGGAUGCUUGCGGGCCCGUAUCGGGUACCAACAGCAACCAAACUCCGAAUACCGGUGACGCGUAUCCCGGCAGUGAGUCGGCGGGGGAUAAGCUUCGUCGUCGAAAGGGAAACAGCCCAGACCGUCGUCUAAGGUCCCGAAGCGUGUGCUAAGUGGGAAAGGAUGUGGAGUCGCAUAGACAGCCAGGAGGUUGGCUCAGAAGCAGCCAUCCUUGAAAGAGUGCGUAACAGCUCACUGGUCUAGUGGUUCCGCGCCGACAAUGUAGCGGGGCUCAAGCACACCACCGAAGACGCGGCAGUAUUUUGUACUGGGUAGGAGAGCGUCCCAUGAGGGGCGAAGCGGCCGUGUGAACGCGCCGUGGACUUCAUGGGAGUGAGAAUGCAGACAUGAGUAGCGAGAGACGGGUGAAGAUCCCGUCCGCUGGAUGACCAAGGGUUCCAGGGCCACGUUCAUCGUCCCUGGGUGAGUCGGGUCCUAAGGCGAGGCCGACAGGCGUAGUCGAAUGGAUGAACGGGUCGAUAUUCCCGUACCGGCUUUCAGCCGCCAAAACCGAGGCUUGGAGUACUAACCUCCGGGUCCGGGCUUACUGCUCCUUCGGGGGCGGGAUGCCCUGGCCUGUUGGGACCGAUCCUUGUAGUAGGUCAGCGCAGGAGUGACGCAGAAGGGUAGCCGGCCGCGGAGGUGGUCUUCCGUGGUCAAGCACGCAGGGCGUGGGACAGGCAAAUCCGUCCCGCAUGGGUCCGAGGUGCGAUGAUGGGGGCCUUAUGGCCCGAUAUCCGGUGAUCCCGGCUGCCGAGAAAAGCUUCGGCGUCAGGCUCAAAGCCGCCCGUACCCCAAACCGACACUGGUGGUCAGGUAGAGAAUACCAAAGCGAUCGAGCGAAUCCUGGUCAAGGAACUCGGCAAAUCACUCCCGUUCCUUCGGUUUAAGGGAGACCCCCGAUGGUGAACACACUUGCUGUGGGAGCUUUUGGGGGUGGCACAGACCAGGGGGUAGCGACUGUUUACCAAAAACACAGGUGCAUGCGAAGGCGCAAGCCGCUGUAUAUGCACUGACGCCUGCCCGGUGCCGGAAGGUUAAGAGGAUCCGUCAGCCUUCGGGUGAAGCGGUGAAUUCAAGCCCCGGUAAACGGCGGUGGUAACUAUAACCAUCCUAAGGUAGCGAAAUUCCUUGUCGGGUAAGUUCCGACCUGCACGAAUGGCGUAACGACUUCCCCACUGUCUCGACCAGGAGCUCGGCGAAAUUGCAGUACGAGUAAAGAUGCUCGUUAAGCGCAGAAGGACGAAAAGACCCCGGGACCUUUACUAUACCUUGGUAUUGGCAUUCGGUGUGGAUUGUGUAGCAUAGGCGGGAGGCCGAGAGGCGCGGUCGCCAGAUCGCGCGGAGCCGUAAGGUGAAAUACCGCUCUGUUCGCAUUGGAUGUCUAACCUCGAACAGUCAUCCUGUUCAGGGACAGUGCCUGGCGGGUAGUUUAACUGGGGCGGUUGCCUCCCAAAGAGUAACGGAGGCGCCCAAAGGUCCGCUCAGCCCGGUUGGCAAUCGGGUGGCGAGUGCAAGUGCACAAGCGGGCUUGACUGCGAGGACGACGGUCCGAGCAGGGACGAAAGUCGGGACUAGUGAUCCGGUGCUAUGUGAUCUUUGAGAAGUUUUUCAAGGAUAAGCUUCUGAAGAAGCUGGGUAAGGGGUGCUGUGAGGACGAGUGUGCCGGUCUUGCCGAUGAGGUCGAGGAUGCGGAUGACACUGCCGAGUGCCAGGUCGUAGAGCCUGCCGCCGAGGAAGUCCCGGCAGACGAGGCGUAAUCGGUCGUGUCCGACAGCCAUCUCGGACCGGAUUCCGUUUUCGCUGGUGCAAUGCCGCCCAAUGACGGCAACACAGAAGAUGGGUAGGGGGAAACCGGUUGCGGUUUCCCCCUUGCUUGU